GACAGAGGGUGCAAACGUUGUUCGGAAUUACUGGGCGUAAAGCGCGUGUAGGCGGCUAAGUAAGUCGGGCGUGAAAUCCCACGGCUCAACCGUGGAAGUGCACUCGAAACUGCAUAGCUAGAGUCCUGGAGAGGAAGGUGGAAUGCUUGGUGUAGAGGUGAAAUUCGUAGAUAUCAAGCGGAACACCGGUGGCGAAGGCGGCCUUCUGGACAGUGACUGACGCUGAGACGCGAAAGCGUGGGGGAGCAAACAGGG
rnacentral:rRNA from 1 species